rnacentral:rRNA from 1 species
UACAGAGGUCUCAAGCGUUGUUCGGAUUCAUUGGGCGUAAAGGGUGCGUAGGUGGCGCUGUAAGUCGGGUGUGAAAGUCCAGGGCUCAACCCUGGGAUGCCGGUCGAUACUGCCGGACUAGAGUUCGGAAGAGGCGAGUGGAAUUCCCGGUGUAGCGGUGAAAUGCGCAGAUAUCGGGAGGAACACCUAUGGCGAAGGCAGCUCGCUGGGACGUUACUGACGCUGAGACGCGAAAGCGUGGGGAGCAAACAGG